rnacentral:rRNA from 1 species
CUGGGCGUAAGCGCACGCAGGCGGUCUGUCAAGUCGGAUGUGAAAUCCCCGGGCUCAACCUGGGAACUGCAUUCGAAACUGGCAGGCUAGAGUCUUGUAGAGGGGGGUAGAAUUCCAGGUGUAGCGGUGAAAUGCGUAGAGAUCUGGAGGAAUACCGGUGGCGAAGGCGGCCCCCUGGACAAAGACUGACGCUCAGGUGCGAAAGCGUGGGGAGCAAACAGGAUUAGAUACCCUGGUAGUCCACGCCGUAAACGAUGUCGACUUGGAGGCUGUUCCCUUGAGGAGUGGCUUCCGGAGCUAACGCGUUAAGUCGACCGCCUGGGGAGUACGGCCGCAAGGUUAAAACUCAAAUGAAUUGACGGGGGCCCGCACAAGCGGUGGAGCAUGUGGUUUAAUUCGAUGCAACGCGAAGAACCUUACCUACUCUUGACAUCCACGGAACUUAGCAGAGAUGCUUUGGUGCCUUCGGGAACCGUGAGACAGGUGCUGCAUGGCUGUCGUCAGCUCGUGUUGUGAAAUGUUGGGUUAAGUCCCGCAACGAGCGCAACCCUUAUCCUUUGUUGCCAGCGGUUCGGCCGGGAACUCAAAGGAGACUGCCAGUGAUAAACUGGAGGAAGGUGGGGAUGACGUCA